GUACGGGAGGCAGCAGUAAGGAAUAUUGGACAAUGGAGGCAACUCUGAUCCAGCCAUGCCGCGUGAAGGAUGAAGGCGCUACGCGUUGUAAACUUCUUUUCUACUAGAAAAAACAUUUGGUUUCGUACCGAAUCUGAUUGUACAGUAGGAAUAAGCAUCGGCUAACUUCGUGCCAGCAGCCGCGGUAAUACGAAGGAUGCAAGCGUUAUCCGGAUUUACUGGGUUUAAAGGGUGUGUAGGUGGGGUAAUAAGUCAGUGGUGAAAGCCCCCGACUCAAUCGGGGAACUGCCAUCGAUACUGUUAUUCUUGAGUGUAGUUGAGGCAGGUGGAAUAUGACAUGUAGCGGUGAAAUGCUUAGAUAUGUCAUAGAACACCGAUCGCGAAGGCAGCCUGCCAAACUAUUACUGACACUGAAACACGAAAGUGCGGGGAUCAAACAGGAUUAGAUACCCCGGUAGG
rnacentral:rRNA from 1 species